GAGUCUACAAUCUGGAUGCAGCAUCUGUCACCCCAGUGAUUGCCAGGGUUGCUCUGGCUGACCUGACUGGGAUUGAUGGGUGGCCCCUUCCUCCCUUGGCAGUCUGUACAUCCCUCAGAACUGUGGUCUUCAGUCAGCUAUAGGCAUGUAGCUUCCCUCUCCAGCGAGAACCUCCAGACACUUUCUCAGAAUACAAGUUCUCUAUUCUAAAGGAGACUGUCAUCUUACACUUAGAUUUUAGUGUGUUUCUAGCAAU
rnacentral:snRNA from 1 species